rnacentral:rRNA from 1 species
CCGCGUGAGGGAUGAAGGCCUUCGGGUUGUAAACCUCUUUCAGUAGGGAAGAAGCGAAGUGACGGUACCUAAAGAAGAAGCACCGGCUAACUAUGUGCCAGCAGCCGCGGUAAUACAUAGGGUGCAAGCGUUGUCCGGAAUUAUUGGGCGUAAAGAGCUCGUAGGUUGUUUGACACGUCGAUUGUGAAAAUCUGAGGCUCAACCUCAGACCUGCAGUCGAUACGGUCAAACUAGAGUGUGGUAGGGGAGACUGGAAUUCCUGGUGUAGCGGUGGAAUGCGCAGAUAUCAGGAGGAACACCAAUGGCGAAGGCAGGUCUCUGGGCCAUAACUGACACUGAGGAGCGAAAGCGCGGGGAGCGAACAGGAUUAGAUACCCUGGUAGUCCGCGCCGUAAACGGUGGGCACUAGCUGUGGGUCCCUUCCACGGGAUCCGCGACGCAGCAAACGCAUUAAGUGCCCCGCCUGGGGAGUACGAUCGCAAGAUUAAAACUCAAAGGAAUUGACGGGGCCCCCGCACAAGCAGCGGAGCAUGCGGGUUAAUUCGACGCAAAGCGAAGAAACUUUAACA